rnacentral:rRNA from 1 species
GGACUACUGGGGUUUCUAAUCCUGUUCGCUCCCCACGCUGUCGCGCCUCAGUGUCAGUAUCGAGCCAGGAAGUCGCCUUCGCCACCGAUGUUCCUUCCGAUAUCUACGCAUUUCACCGCUACACCGGAAAUUCCACUUCCCUCUCUCGAACUCUAGCCUCCCAGUCUUAUAUGCAAUUCCUAGGUUAAGCCCAGGGAUUUCACAUAUAACUUAAAAAACCACCUACGCGCCCUUUACGCCCAAUAAUUCCGAUUAACGCUCGCACCCUCUGUAUUACCGCGGCUGCUGGCAC